GUGGGUAGUUUGACUGGGGCGGUCUCCUCCCAAAGAGUAACGGAGGAGCACGAAGGUUGGCUAAUCCUGGUCGGACAUCAGGAGGUUAGUGCAAUGGCAUAAGCCAGCUUGACUGCGAGCGUGACGGCGCGAGCAGGUGCGAAAGCAGGUCAUAGUGAUCCGGUGGUUCUGAAUGGAAGGGCCAUCGCUCAACGGAUAAAAGGUACUCCGGGGAUAACAGGCUGAUACCGCCCAAGAGUUCAUAUCGACGGCGGUGUUUGGCACCUCGAUGUCGGCUCAUCACAUCCUGGGGCUGAAGUAGGUCCCAAGGGUAUGGCUGUUCGCCAUUUAAAGUGGUACGCGAGCUGGGUUUAGAACGUCGUGAGACAGUUCGGUCCCUAUCUGCCGUGGGCGCUGGAGAAUUGAGGGGGGCUGCUCCUAGUACGAGAGGACCGGAGUGGACGCAUCACUGGUGUUCGGGUUGUCAUGCCAAUGGCACUGCCCGGUAGCUAAAUGCGGAAGAGAUAAGUGCUGAAAGCAUCU
rnacentral:rRNA from 1 species